GUUUGGGUUCAGAGCUAGAGAGUGAAUUUUAGAGAAAAGCAAUAGUUGUGACUCAUUCACUUUCUAAACUUUUACACAUAGUCAUUUACGAUAAUUGUUUUCUUUGCAAUGUAUCUUCUUAAGUCUCCCCCUUUGUAGUGUCCUAAUUACUGGUAGCACUUUUAGUUAUUCUAAUUUAUGCAAUUAAAGGUCUGUGACAAUGAAAACAUUUCCCCAAUUGCAUUUAUACUCUCAGGGUACCAGACCAGAAGAUCAGAUCGUAGAAGUUACUGGAGAAAAAGAUCAGCGGACAGCACUCUUGAACUACAUGCCAGGCCUCUUCUUCCUGGAACUCUAAUGGAUUUAAAUGGCUUAAGAGACGGGAUGAAUUGUUGAAAAUGGUUCUUUCAAAAGACCUCACGGAAGGCCAAAGACAAGACUCACUGAGGCCAAGCUGAUCAACAAUAUCUAUAAGUUGACGCAUUCUAAUCAUGUGGCGAUCUUGACCUUGGGAGCUUGAUUUGUGGACCAGUGUCCCCAAGAAGAUGACCAUCAGACAGAUGACAAUCCUCUCCAUGUUGCCAGGACUGGAUCUCAUAAGUACCAACAGUAGAGCUAGACCUUGGUCUCGUUUUCACUUCAGCUUGACUGAGAACAGGUAUACGUGUGCAUGUGCUAAUGUGUGGGGGCAGGGAUUGAUGGAGUCAACGAAAUGUGCCCCAUCUGCAUCUUUGACAGGAAAAAGAGAGAAUGGGUGAAUUCCAAUUUUCAGCAUGAAUCAAGAAUGUCACCGAUGAAGUUUUUGAAUGCUGUGCUCCUAAUCUCAUUUUCCUCCUCCAGAGACUUCGGUGAAGGAUGAUGCAAACUGUGUUUCUUCAGCAUGUGAGCACCAUCAGCCAUGAGUGUGGCAGCUCCAGAAUGUCUAUACCAGAGUGGCUGAGAGUCAGCAACUUGGCUGGAAGCUACACUUGAAUAGCAAACAAACCACUUUUACUUAGUUUCCAUGUCUAUUUGGUACCUUGGAGUACAGUGAUGAGUUUUACUAGAUGUGGACUUUCCAGGAAUAUAGCCAAGGUCGUCACCAUGAAAGUAUGAAACUUUAGUCAUUUACCCAAGGGGAUUCAUGGACAUAUAUUAAGAAUUUUCUUUAAUGGACUGUGUUUAUAGAACACCUGGUCAGGACGGAAAUGAGGCCAGGGAACUAAAGGGGUAGAAGUCUGAAGAGGAAUGGUUUUGCAUGGGAAAACUGUGCCAGGUCUAAAACUGGGCUGAACACUAUUUGUCCCCAACUCUCUGGCCCGGUCCUCAUAGUUCUUUCUGUGAUCCCUGCGUGGUGAAUACUCCUUUUCUGCUUUCACUGGCUUUGGCCCCUCAUGGAUAGAAUUAGAUGUUCUGCAUGGCAAACUGUGGGAAGAGAGGCCUCCAGUGUUUAGAGUGAUAUUAUCAUGUGUACCACUACUAUUAUACAUACUAAAGGUAUUCAGACAGGUGGCUUGUCUCUGGGCUUUAUAUAGAUCUCUGUCAAGCUAGAAGAAAAAUGUCACUAAAAUAAUUCAAGACAAUUUUUGUACUUUCCAACGAUGUUCAGGUAACAGCUGAAAAUAUUCUCACUUAUUUGACUUGAGGAAGAAAAUUCGAACGAGGAAAAUCAUCAAGGAUUUGCUAAAGUCCCUUCUGUAAAAUCUUCCUUAAGGAAGUUUAAACACUCCUAUUCUCUCUUCUCUCAUUCUUUUGAACUCACUGCAUGUAUUGAUAUCACUGACUUGGUUUGUUUUCUAGAAUAUAUGUAAAAGUAAGAGUGUGUAUAUAUAACCCAUUAUGUACAUAACAAGAACAGUUCCUUCCAAUAUUCAAAUUUCAUGACUCUAGAUCACUACUGUGCAUUCUAAGAAGGUCAGGGACUCAUGGAGACCAAAGGGUCAAUCCUGGUCAUUGUUGUCUUACGAGAGAAAAACAAGAGCCUUCUCGGGCCCCGUGUUCUCUAGCUCUUGAUGUGGCCUCUUCGGUAUCACUGGCAGCCCCACAGUCUGGUGGUCAGUGUGUCGCAGCAGAGGGUCAUUCACCGAUGCUGCUUAUCCACAGCACCUUUUCUGUGGGGAAUGGGGGCCUCUAUUCUGCUAGUAGACUCAGGUGUGUCACUCUGUGAUACUCUUAAGACUGGGUUCAUUGAGGACAGGUCUCUUUGCUAACAUUCACACAAAGUCAUUGUUUGGAAGCACAGUCCUGCUUCUGAAAUGCUAGGUCUGGAGGAGUUCCAGCAGCAGCCACAUGGGCCCUCUCCUCAGAUCUUGGCUCCAACAUGGGAUACUCAGCAGUGAGGCUAGAGAUCAGAUGUCCUUCAUUCCUUGACCACUAAGCCUAGAGGAUGGAGAGAAAGAAGUGGAACAUCUGCACUCUUCAACCUGAGUCCACUCCAACUCCAUCCCACAAGGUGAGGCAAGUUCCACCAGCCUCUCCAGCCUCCUGUCUAAUAUGAUCAGAGAAAUCCUCUUCUCUCUGGACUCAAGACCCAUCCCUGUUUCCUUCCCUAAGGCGACAGGUGGCUAUAGCACCCUUUGUCUUGGCCCUGCAGCCACCAAUACACAACCAUAAAAAUAAAGUAGUCCAAUUAUUAGCCUUCGCUGUGUCCUGUGUCCUCCUCCCAAGAGAUCUGCGGAACCUUCAUUUAUCACCUGAAUGGGAGCCUCCUCCCCAUGCUUUCCCAGGGGGCAGCCAUAGGACCUCACAGAGAUGUUACUGUGUAUCACUCUAGACUCUUUUCCUAUAUACAUAGAACAAUAAAGGAAUAGAUAGGGACACAUAGACACUUAAGGAAAUAGAAUUAUGUAUGGAGAUAGAAACAUAAAAAUAAAUAGCACAGACAUAUAGAUAUAGAAAACUGGUACUUUUACAUAAAAACUUAAUCUCACCAUAUGUAGUCUAUAAAUUUUUUUUUCACUCAACCUAUGUCAGGGACAGGAGUCCAUACAGGAUUCACACACAGGGAUAUCUCAUUAGAUUAAUAUUCCAUUGUAUGGCAGUACCACAAUUUAUCCAUUCAUAACCCUACUGAUAAACAUUUAGAUUGUUUCCAGUUUUUAUCCACUGCAAACAAUGCUGCAAUGAACAUCCUUAGACAUAGAGAUCUCUAAGCAUAUGUGAAAUAUAUUCUUUUAAUGUUGUAUUUUAAAAUACAUGUCUUGAAUUUCACUUCCUGAGUGGAAAGAUACUUUGAAAAACUUUGUAGAAACUGCCAAAUUUCCCUCUGACAUGCCAUACCAGUUUAUACUCCCAACAACAUAGAGUUUCUUUUCCUCUCAUUAAUACUUUAUGUUAUGAAUAUUUUAAAUAUCUACCAACAUAUUGGGGCAAAAAUAGUAUCCUCUCAUUGGUUUGUCUUUCCUUGAUCAAUAGUUAGAUCUGCUAUAUUUUCAUCAGUGUGUUUAUUUUUCCACAAAUUGUCUGAUUCAUAUUAUUUGCCAAUUUAUUCAUUUGUUUCUUAUUUACUUAUAAAGGCUCUUUUUCUAUUAAAGAUAUGUUAAACAUGUAGAAAUUAUUUUCUCUGUGGUAUCCUUUGCCCUACUGAGGUUUUGAGCUUUCAUGUUAUUGUGUCUGAGAAUCUUAUGUUUUAUGUCAUGGACCUUCGUUUAAUAGAAAGGGUGUCUCACCUAACAAAACCAAAAAUGGCAGUAAUUAAUUUAGUGUUCUUUUUGGUUGAAGAAUUCUAAUGCCAAGGAGUCAUGUUUAAUUCAGGAGCGCUUUUAAAUGAAUUUGCAUUUCAUUUGUCACAAGAUUAGCUACAUACUUCUUUGAAAUAUAAUAAUACAUUUAUGGUUGGAAGUGAUUUAGUCAGUUUAUAGGCAACAUCCUUCCUGUGCAGCAAUGAAUUCAUGAGCCCUGUGAACAUCAUUAUUUUAGAAAAAGAAUUGGAUAUAAUAUAUACUUCUUAUAUAUAGAGAGAUCCAAUCAUAUACCACAUUCAGGAGUGGGGAGGACAAGGGACCACAGAAUCCUGAAACGGCAUCUGAGCCAUCAAAAGAAUGUGCUCACUACAGUUUCAGUGCUGAAUGUUUUAUUUUACUUCAAUUCUUUAAAUAUGGUUUCUCCAUAUACAGGGUGUACGGUAGUUCUAAAAACGCGAAUGACUAAUUAACAAAGUGCAGACCAGGAAAACACAGACUCUGUGAGAUUUACCAAAUUGGCUCCAAGACUACCCUGAAGUCACCCUUUAAACUGAGAAAUAGUUAUAUCUGAUAGACUCUGUUGCUGCAAAUAAAGGGAAAUGGGAUGGCUCUUUCUGAAAAAAGACUUUGGGCCAAUCAAAAAGAUACUAUCAAUGAUUAUUCUAGCAAACACUUUUGUAUCUAAGUGGUUUAUAGACAUAAUCUCAUUUAAAGCAACAACCAUGAGAAAUAGGUAUUUUGAGUGUGCCUCUUUACUACCGAAGCACAAAGAAGAUAAGUAAGACAUUGAAGUGAUUGGAGGAACUCUCUCCAGAGCCUGACGACUUCUCUCUACAGCAGGGAACUGCCUCCAUUGCUGAUGUUGGAUUAAACAGAACAGCCUGUGCAGUUAGUUCAUGGAUUCCAUAAAGGGACUGGACCUUAAUGAAGACGUUCCUGACAUGGGUUUGGGGUAAGAAGGAGAGUCUGUUUGCAAAAUUAUUAUUGAUAAUAACUAGAAUUUAAAUGUAUAUCUUUUCUUGGUUAAUUAAAU
rnacentral:lncRNA from 1 species